GCAAUAUCGAAAGAUGUGGAAGGAGAGGUGGCGGAAGCGAUGGUCACCGAAAAUCCCUUCCGCUUCGCUUCCUCCGUCACGUCGCAGCUCGUCAUAGAACGGUCUCAGUUGUAAGAGGUGUCAUCACGUACAUUAGGAAGGCUUUCUCACAGCAGUGGGCCAUUGAACGGUGGCCAGAGCUGCGGCUCUUUGACUGACAACCCUCCCGUCUCUCCAUCUGAGAUCGAUGAUUCUUCCAGAAUACCCCGAAACAAAGCAGACAAUCAUUUCCGUGGUAGAAGAAACCCCAACAGCCCAAAUGAGAUCAGAGUUUCUAACGACGACUCAUAUCUUGGAGUGUGGAAGAAUGCAGUGGACUGUGAAAGAAAGACGUGGGAGUUCCAGGAGAUUUCCAACAACUCCUUUGCUGUCGCAGCUAGGAAAGUAGAUGAUGAUAGUCCGAAUGCUCUGGAGUGCAAGUACUACUAGUUCAAGAAGAUUCUGAAAGUCCCAAAGGACGAGAGGGAUCGGGCCCAACAAAUGCAGGUCAUCGAUCGGGCUGCAGCUCCUCAAGCUCUUCUUGAGGAGAAUCCUCAGGAAAAAGCUGCCAUGGAUGUUGAUUUGGGAUUUUUUUGGGCCUGAGGUUCCAAAGAUUGAGGGUAAUGCUAUAAUUAUUUAAGAAGGAAGGAUUUCUGUGAGAUGCCUUUACUCUGUUUGAGUUAUUGUUUAUAAAAGUUCUUGAAUUCUUUCAAGAUUGAUGAAAUGUUAAAAUUCUUGCUUGGGUUGUCAGGAUUUAACUUCAAUUUGGGGAUUUUGGCGUUUGUGGUUUUUGUACUUCCAAGUGCUUAUUUGGAUGCACCAUUGCAACAAUGCCACUUUGAAGUUUGCAUCUUCAAGAAGGUAUAUGCAUCUUCAUAGUUCCAUGGCAAUACAGUUCUUGGGUAGUUUUUCAUAGCCUAUGGAAAUAAAUAUUUACUGAUUUGUUUUUGGUUUAAAUUUCUGAAAUGAUUUGAUUGCAAGGAGACAAUCUGCUGAAACAUAUUUUCUAGAGGAUUUGGAGAAAGUGGUCCAAGAAUAUGCUUUUU